rnacentral:rRNA from 1 species
GACGAACGCUGGCGGCGUGCUUAACACAUGCAAGUCGAGCGGUAAGGCCCUUUCGGGGGUACGACGAGCGGCGAACGGGUGAGUAACACGUGGGUGACCUGCCCUCAGCUCUGGGAUAAGCCUGGGAAACCGGGUCUAAUACCGGAUAUGACUCCAUGACGCAUGUUGUGGGGUGGAAAGCCUUGUGCGGCUGAGGAUGGGCCCGCGGCCUAUCAGCUUGUUGAUGGGGUGANGGCCUACCAAGGCGACGACGGGUAGCCGGCCUGAGAGGGCGACCGGCCACACUGGGACUGAGACACGGCCCAGACUCCUACGGGAGGCAGCAGUGGGGAAUCUUGCGCAAUGGGCGAAAGCCUGACGCAGCGACGCCGCGUGAGGGAUGACGGCCU